GACGAACGCUGGCGGCGUGCUUAACACAUGCAAGUCGAACGAGACGAUUGAAAGCUUGCUUUUAAAAGUCGAGUGGCAAACGGGUGAGUAACGCGUAGACAACCUGCCUUUGAGAUGGGGACAACAGUUCGAAAGGACUGCUAUACCGAAUGUUGUAUAUUUUCCACAUGGAAGAUAUAUUAAAGAUGGCCUCUAUUUAUAAGCUAUCGCUCAAAGAUGGGUCUGCGUCUGAUUAGCUGGUUGGUGGGGUAACGGCCUACUAAGGCGACGAUCAGUAGCCGGUCUGAGAGGAUGAACGGCCACAUUGGGACUGAGACACGGCCCAGACUCCUACGGGAGGCAGCAGUGGGGAAUCUUCCACAAUGGACGAAAGUCUGAUGGAGCAACGCCGCGUGAGUGAAGAAGGGUUUCGGCUCGUAAAGCUCUGUUGUCGGGGACGAAUGUGCAGUAUUUGAAUAAAGUACUGCAAUGACGGUACCUGACGAGGAAGCCACGGCUAACUACGUGCCAGCCGCCGCAGUAA
rnacentral:rRNA from 1 species